UGGGGAAUAUUGCACAAUGGGCGAAAGCCUGAUGCAGCGACGCCGCGUGAGGGAUGACGGCCUUCGGGUUGUAAACCUCUUUCAGCAGGGACGAAGCGCAAGUGACGGUACCUGCAGAAGAAGCACCGGCUAACUACGUGCCAGCAGCCGCGGUAAUACGUAGGGUGCAAGCGUUGUCCGGAAUUACUGGGCGUAAAGAGUUCGUAGGCGGUUUGUCGCGUCGUUUGUGAAAACCAGCAGCUCAACUGCUGGCUUGCAGGCGAUACGGGUAGACUUGAGUACUGCAGGGGAGACUGGAAUUCCUGGUGUAGCGGUGAAAUGCGCAGAUAUCAGGAGGAACACCGGUGGCGAAGGCGGGUCUCUGGGCAGUAACUGACGCUGAGGAACGAAAGCGUGGGUAGCGAACAGG
rnacentral:rRNA from 2 species